ACGGGGGUGCCGUUAGCAGCGGCGCGGGGAACGAGCGGCGUCUGCGGAAGCCCCUGCGGAAGGAGGGGCUCCGGCCAGGGUCGAGCUGCGGUACUAACGGUCACUGCUGCCUCUUUCCCUCUCCCAGAGGCCACGCUGUGGGUGCGGUUGUCCGUUCGUCCCCUGGGGAUGCCGUUGACUGCAGCAGCCUCAGGCUUGCGUGGGCUGUCUCUGCCUGGCCUCCCUCUCCUCGCGGCGCGGGAGCGCAGAGGGACAGGCGGAGCGCUUACUGGCUGUGGGCGGGAGCUGCGGAAGCUGGAGAGGCCACAGAAAGGUAAAGAAGAAGCAGCGGAAGGCCGUCUGGCUGGCAGCUGCCUCCCGCUGCAGGCAAGAGAGAGCCUGCCUCUCCGGGUGUGGGAGCAUCCCUCCUCGUAGUCCGCAGCAGGUCAGACCGCCAGGGUCUGUAUGCACGACCAGCAGCGGGGUACGGCCACGUAGCGAGUGAGCGAGCGAGGCUACGUGUCUAGGAGGCCUCAUCUCGUAAGAGCUGUGAGACGCUCGCGUGUUCCGUUACGUGGAGGACAGCCAAGCGACGGGAGUUCCAGAAGAGGAAGGGAGGAGAGAAGGAGAAAGAAGCGUCUGAGCUGGCAAGGUCUCCUGGCAGCUCCAAGAGCGAGAGCUCCGAGUGGUGAUGGCGUGUUGUCCUGUGGCACAAUCCCCAUUCCGUUCAGCGGAGUCUUCAGUCUAGGCCUUUUAAGUGGAUGUCAGCUGCCACCAUUUCACCGUGGUUGCCCUUUCUUCUGCCGUGAAAGUACAAGACAGAUGGAAAGAUUCCGUAGUGGUCUGCAAGUACAAGGUACGCCUACGAUGUGUGUCUGCGUUUUUCCAAAGGUACUUGUAGUAUGGACUUUAAAGUUAACAUUAAGAAUGUGCCAACUCUCCUUCCACAUUUUUUCUGUGAAAUAUUUUAAUACGAAUACUAAAACUAAGGUCUGUUCUGGAGCACGUUACGCCUA